GACGAACGCUGGCGGCGUGCUUAACACAUGCAAGUCGAACGGAAAGGCCCUGCUUUUGUGGGGUGCUCGAGUGGCGAACGGGUGAGUUACACGUGAGUAACCUGCCCUGGACUUUGGGAUAACUUCAGGCAACUGGGGCUAAUACCGGAUAGGAGCUCCUGCUGCAUGGUGGGGGUUGGAAAGUUUCGGCGGUUGGGGAUGGACUCGCGGCUUAUCAGCUUGUUGGUGGGGUAGUGGCUUACCAAGGCUUUGACGGGUAGCCGGCCUGCGAGGGUGACCGGCCACAUUAGGACUGAGAUACGGCACAGACUCCUACGGGAGGCAGCAGUGGGGAAUAUUGCACAGUGGGCGGAAGCCUGAUGCAGCAACGCCGGGUGCGGGAUGAAGGCCUUCGGGUUGUAAACCGCAUUCGCCUGUGACGAAGCGUGAGUGACGGUACUGGGUAAAGAAGCACCGGCUAACUACGUG
rnacentral:rRNA from 1 species